rnacentral:lncRNA from 1 species
CGAAAAAUUUCAGCAGUUUACGAUGAAAAUUUGCAGCAACACAAAAUCGUUUUUAGAGAUGAAUUCCUCAAUAGAUCAAUCUUAGAUGGAAGCCAAGAUGAUCUAUGAAGUGUAUAAGAAAUUUCAUUCAAAAAAGAUUGCAAAUAGAUGGGUUAAGGCAACAAUAUACGGCUGAAAUUUUCUGCAGCACAGAUUUUUAAGUAUAGCAGAUUG